GCUUACGGCCACACCACCCUGAGCCGCGGCCCGAUCUCGUCUGAUCUCGGAAGCUAAGCAGGGUCGGGCCUGGUUAGUACUUGGAUGGGAGACCGCCUGGGAAUACCAGGGUGCCGUAAGCU
rnacentral:rRNA from 1 species